AUUGAACGCUGGCGGCAGGCCUAACACAUGCAAGUCGAGCGGAGCGGCGGACGGGUGAGUAAUGCCUAGGACUCUGCCUGGUAGUGGGGGAUAACGUCCGGAAACGUGCGCUAAUACCGCAUACUAUCAGAUGAGCCUCGGUCGCCGUAGCUAGUUGGUGGGGUAAAGGCCUACCAAGGUGACGAGCCGUAACUGGUCUGAGAGGAUGACCAGCCACACUGGAACUGAGACACGGUCCCGACUCCUACGGGAGGCAGCAGUGGGGAAUAUUGCACAAUGGGCGCAAGCCUGAUGCAGCCAUGCCGCGGGUAUGAAGAAGGCCUUCGGGUUUGAAAGUACUUUCAGCGGUGAGGCGUUACCCGCAGAAGAAGCACCGGCUAACUCCGUGCCAGCAGCCGCGGUAAUUC
rnacentral:rRNA from 1 species